UGCCCAGCAAGUCCUAUCCCUAUCUCCUCAUGGUACUAGCUGGGGUACGAGCUAUCGUAUGGAAGAUCGGGUAACCAGCCUCGGUGGGAACUUUGAUCGUAUGUUGACAGGGAAGG
rnacentral:ribozyme from 1 species